GCCCCGGUUGCUCAGCGGUCAGGAAUUAAUGGCAAAAGCGACGGCCUUGUAAGCCGUAGGUCGCGGGUUCAAAUCCCGCCCGGGGCUCCA
rnacentral:tRNA from 1 species